UCGGUAGUUCAGCUGGUUAGAACGCUAGCCUGUCACGCUAGAGGUCGUGGGUUCGAUCCCCAUCC
rnacentral:tRNA from 2 species